rnacentral:rRNA from 1 species
GACGAACGCUGGCGGCGUGCUUAACACAUGCAAGUCGAGCGGAGCGGCGAACGGGUGAGUAACGCGUGAGUAACUGCCCCCCUCUCUGGGAUAACAGUUGGAAACGGCUGCUAAUACCGGCUAGUGGGGGAUGACUCGCGUCCUAUCAGCUUGUUGGUGGGGUAGUGGCCUACCAAGGCGCGGAUGGGUAGCCGGCCUGAGAGGGCGACCGGCCACAUUGGGCUGAGAUACGGCCCAGACGAGUACGGGAGGCAGCAGUGGGGAAUAUUGCACAAUGGGGGAAACCCUGAUGCAGAGACGCCGCGUGCGGGAUGACGGCCUUCGGGUUGUAAACCGCUUUCAGCCAUGACGCGGUAGUUGUAGAAGGAGCACCGGCUAAAUACGUGACAGCAGCCGCGGUAAUUC